rnacentral:rRNA from 1 species
CGGGUAACCUGCCUGGUAGCGGGGGAUAACUAUUGGAAACGAUAGCUAAUACCGCAUAAUAGUAGAUGUUGCAUGACAUUUGCUUAAAAGGUGCAAUUGCAUCACUACCAGAUGGACCUGCGUUGUAUUAGCUAGUUGGUGAGGUAACGGCUCACCAAGGCGACGAUACAUAGCCGACCUGAGAGGGUGAUCGGCCACACUGGGACUGAGACACGGCCCAG